rnacentral:misc_RNA from 1 species
GAUGAAGAACGCAGCGAAAUGCGAUAAGUAAUGUGAAUUGCAGAAUUCAGUGAAUCAUCGAAUCUUUGAACGCACAUUGCGCCCGCCAGUAUUCUGGCGGGCAUGCCUGUCUGAGCGUCAUUUCAACCCUCAUGCCCCUAGGGCGUGGUGUUGGGGAUCGGCCAAAGCCCGCGAGGGACGGCCGGCCCCUAAAUCUAGUGGCGGACCCGUCGUGGCCUCCUCUGCGAAGUAGUGAUAUUCCGCAUCGGAGAGCGACGAGCCCCUGCCGUUAAACCCCCAACUUUCCAAGGUUGACCUCAGAACAGGUAGGAAUACCCGCUGAACUUAAGCAUAUCAAUAAGCGGAGGA